rnacentral:rRNA from 1 species
UACGUAGGGAGCAAGCGUUGUCCGGAAUCAUUGGGCGUAAAGCGCGCGUAGGUGGCCCCGUAAGUCCGCUGUGAAAGUCAAAGGCUCAACCUUUGAAAGCCGGUGGAUACUGUGGGACUAGAGUACGGAAGAGGCGAGUGGAAUUCCUGGUGUAGCGGUGGAAUGCGCAGAUAUCAGGAGGAACACCAAUAGCGAAGGCAGCUCGCUGGGACGUUACUGACACUGAGGCGCGAAAGCGUGGGGAGCGAACAUG